rnacentral:misc_RNA from 1 species
AUAUAUAAUCAACCCCUCUCUUUUGAGUUGUGGGUUGGAUGUGGGGGGUUUGCUGGCCUUUUGGUCAGCUCCCCUGAAAUGCAUUAGCAGAACGACCUGUUCAUUCAUUGGUGUGAUAACUAUCUACGCUGUUGAGUGCAAGGGCAGUUCAGCUUCCUAACAGUCCUCGGACAGUUUAUCAUUUU